GCGACUAUGGUGAAACGGUUAUCACGGCAGUUUGUGGCACUGCAAUCAGCGGUUCAAUUCCGCUUAGUCGCCCCA
rnacentral:tRNA from 1 species